ACUCAAUAGAUACCCGGGUAGUCCACGCCCUAAACGAUGUCAACUAGUUGUCGGGGAUUAAUUUCCUUGGUAAACGCAGCUAAACGCGUGAAAGUUGACCGCCUGGGGAGUACGGUCGCAAGAUUAAAACUCAAAGGAAUUGACGGGGACCCGCACAAGCGGUGGAUGAUGUGGAUUAAUUCGAUGCAACGCGAAAAACCUUACCUACCCUUGACAUGGUCGGAACCCUGGAGAGAUCUGGGGGUGCUCGAAAGAGAACCGGCGCACAGGUGCUGCAUGGCUGUCGUCAGCUCGUGUCGUGAGAUGUUGGGUUAAGUCCCGCAACGAGCGCAACCCUUGUCAUUAGUUGCUACGAAAGGGCACUCUAAUGAGACUGCCGGUGACAAACCGGAGGAAGGUGGGGAUGACGUCAAGUCCUCAUGGCCCUUAUGGGUAGGGCUUCACACGUCAUACAAUGGUACAUACAGAGGGCUGCCAACCCGCGAGGGGGAGCUAAUCCCAGAAAGUGUAUCGUAGUCCGGAUUGCAGUCUGCAACUCGACUGC
rnacentral:rRNA from 1 species